rnacentral:rRNA from 1 species
GAUGAACGCUGGCGGCGUGCCUAAUACAUGCAAGUCGAGCGAACAGACGAGGAGCUUGCUCUUCUGACGUUAGCGGCGGACGGGUGAGUAACACGUGGAUAACCUACCUAUAAGACUGGGAUAACUUCGGGAAACCGGAGCUAAUACCGGAUAAUAUAUUGAACCGCAUGGUUCAAUAGUGAAAGACGGUUUUGCUGUCACUUAUAGAUGGAUCCGCGCCGCAUUAGCUAGUUGGUAAGGUAACGGCUUACCAAGGCAACGAUGCGUAGCCGACCUGAGAGGGUGAUCGGCCACACUGGAACUGAGACACGGUCCAGACUCCUACGGGAGGCAGCAGUAGGGAAUCUUCCGCAAUGGGCGAAAGCCUGACGGAGCAACGCCGCGUGAGUGAUGAAGGUCCUCGGAUCGUAAAACUCUGUUAUUAGGGAAGAACAAAUGUGUAAGUAACUAUGCACGUCUUGACGGUACCUAAUCAGAAAGCCACGGCUAACUACGUG